GGCUCUGUAGUGUAGCGGUUAUCACGGCGGAUUCUGACGACGGGAUAUUCGUCGCGCCAUAAUUCCGUCAACUCAGGUUCGAUUCCUGACAGGGCCU